AUUAACGCUGGCGGCAGGCCUAACACAUGCAAGUCGAGCGGAUGAAGGGAGCUUGCUCCCUGAUUCAGCGGCGGACGGGUGAGUAAUGCCUAGGAAUCUGCCUGAUAGUGGGGGACAACGUUUCGAAAGGAACGCUAAUACCGCAUACGUCCUACGGGAGAAAGCAGGGGACCUUCGGGCCUUGCGCUAUCAGAUGAGCCUAGGUCGGAUUAGCUAGUUGGUGAGGUAAUGGCUCACCAAGGCGACGAUCCGUAACUGGUCUGAGAGGAUGAUCAGUCACACUGGAACUGAGACACGGUCCAGACUCCUACGGGAGGCAGCAGUGGGGAAGAUUGGACAAUGGGCGAAAGCCUGAUCCAGCCAUGCCGCGUGUGUGAAGAAGGUCUUCGGAUUGUAAAGCACUUUAAGUUGGGAGGAAGGGUUGCUGAUUAAUACUCUGCAAUUUUGACGUUACCGACAGAAUAAGCACCGGCUAACUCUGUGCCAGCAGCCGCCGUAAUAC
rnacentral:rRNA from 1 species